GUGGUGCGGCUCGCGGUGUCUGCGGCGGGGGUGGGGGAAUCUGGUUGCGGCCGCCGGCGCUGACCGCGAUCCGCGAGCUGCUUCUCUGGGCUUAGAGCCUUGCUGGAGCACAACGGGCCUCGCUGGGUGGUGCCGCGCCCUGUCCGGGGUCGGUUCGCCCCGCGGGGCGCUCGGGUGCCUGUGGCUCUAGCGAGCAGGUCUGGGCGGGCCGCGCCGCGCAUGACGGCCGAGGCCUAGUGGGGAAGCGGCUUGGUCACUGUCUCCCAGGCGUGUCCGGCUGCCACGAGGCCGGGUGUCCAUCAGGCUCGGUAACAUCGCGCUUCCCCGAGGGCCCUAGAGACCCUCCGGCAGAGCCAGCGGGGCCGGCUUCGCUGAGACUAGGCUCCGUCCGCCUUGGUGUGUGACGGAGCAAAGCGGGGCGGGAAGAGCUUCUAACCACCUUCCCGCUGGUCGCUAUCAAGACCUAGCCGUUACCUGUGAGCAGGGCUUCUGUAGGAGAGGGUGAUAUUCAAGGCGGGGGGGGAGGCGUGGUAACCUGGUUGGUGCCUGGUGAAGGGAUGCACGGUGCUAGGGUGACCAGAUGUCCCGAUUUUAUAGGGACAGUUCUGAUUUUUGGGUCUUUUUCUUGUAUGGGCUCCUAUUAUCCCCAUCCUGAUUUUUCACAUUUGCUAUUUGGUCACCCUCUUUCUCUAGUAGUUAAAAGCUGAAGGGUAAAAUGUUAAAGUCACUGAAGUGAUUUAGGUGUUUAAGUCCCUGCUUUUAUAAAUGAUGUGGGCACUUAGGUGCCUAGAUUCUAUUGACUGUUGGCUCCAUCGUGUUUACGUCACUCUUGAAAACUUUGCCCAGGAUUUUCUGAGUUUCGUAUGACAUGUCUGUGGUCUUGGAGCUGCCCUGGGUUGUUUGUACUCGGGGCUUACCAGGCUUGCAGAGAGAGCAUCUGUCUGAGGAAGCCGAGGCAUGCCUGUUAGUGAUUCAAAUCAUCUGCUCUGAAGAAAUCUGAAUGUGGCUUCAGUGGGAAUUUUAAGGACAUCGUAUGCACCCCUAAUGUUGCAGAUGUUCCUGCUGGGGAAGCCAAUCUCAUCCCAUUAUGAAGACAUGUAAUAUAUGAUAAAAAUCAGUAACAUUUAAGUGAAGUUGCAGAGUUUAUACAAGUCCCUCUAAUUUGUUCUUGUAAUCUGAAUUGGAUUGCCUAUUAUAAUGGGCACGUAGUUUCUGACUUGAUUUGUAGCAUACUCCCAGUGAAAUACUUAAACUCUAUAGUUCUUGUACUGUUGACAUUGCUCAUGCUACAUAAUACGUUAGUCAAUACCACACAACUGACCCUUGUGUAACUCAUGUUGGCUUCAUGAGAUACAAAACUAGCUAUACGUAAUCGCUGGAUAAAUAAAAGGACUAUUAGUAAACACUUCUUAAAUAUGCUAAGAUUAACUGUAGUCACUCACUUGCCUAUUUCCUUUUUUUAUUGAAAGAAUACAAACGCUUUCUGCAACUCAUCACACAACUGUCACUAGUAGUUAAAGGCUAGCAUCAAUUCUUGUAUUCCAGAGCACAAGUGAGAUUAGGAAACUCCAUUUAAACUUCAUUUUGAUUAACUUCUGGUAUUGGAGUGACAAGCUGAAGUGGCUUGAGUGGCAUCUAGAACCCAUCAAUGGAAUUAUUUCUCUAUCUGUUUUCCAUUAUGUUCCCUGAAAUGUAAAUAAGAAUGACCUAUACUGGCUUUUAUGAGAAAUGUAUAGUGCUAGCACAAUAACAGUAUGAUUUGGCUAAAGCUACUAGGUGUUGCUACAGUAUAAAUGAUAAUUCUAAAUUCGAUGCUAAUAAAAACAAUAGUGAAAAAUGAUCUAAA